GCACAUUUAACGCAUUUAGCUCAUGCUUAGGGCUCGACAAUUGACCUUGUCUUAGACAAAAUAGAGAAAUGAGACAUUCUCAUUUAUCAUUAUUGAUCACUACACACAUCAUCCCAUUGAAUUGAAUUGAAUUGAUCUCACCCUUACCUCAUGAUUUGAUCUUUACCGCCAAGUGUGUUUUUGAGACGAAAACAAAGGUUCAACGAGCACAAUUUAUAAACAAAAGUUCGUAAAAAUUUAAGCCGAAGAAUCAUACUCUACGAUUAACACUAUAGAAACAAUGAACUCAAUCCCUAGCAAGCAAAGUGAUAC
rnacentral:lncRNA from 1 species